GUGACCCAGAAAAAAAACAACCCAUAAAAAUUUUAUUAAAUCCUACAAAGGUCCAGCAGAUUUCUUGAAAUUUGCUGGACUUAAACUAUGGUCUGUGUAAAAUCAUUCCCAUUGCAUAAAAGUCAUGUUCUUUUCAAAAUAUGCUCCAAAUGGCAUACGUUGCACAAAAUUGUCAAUUACUCGAACACAUUCCUCUUUGGGGAUUUCCCUGAUUUCUGUUGUGAUUGCUGCCUUCAGUUCACCAAUCGUUUGAGUGUUGUUCUGGUAAACAUCAUCCUUGAGAUAACCCCCACAUAUAAAAAUCUGAGGGGUUCAAGUCUGGUGAAUGUGGUGCCCACUCAACGUCACACUUCCUGAUCAGUCUCUCCUGAAAUCACUCUCUCAACCCCAGUUUAGGGAGUCAUUUGAUGUGUGUUGGUUAGGCUCCGUUUUGCCG